rnacentral:lncRNA from 1 species
UCCAUUAUAAGGCUCAAAAAUCUCACAAAGAACAUUGAUUGAUCACGAAUGAUACACAAUUGAGAAUUUAAUCAUACUUAUCAUACUAAGAAUGCAAAGAAAAUCAAUCACAUUACACCACAAGUCUUUAGGCAAGAGAACAAAGAAAUUACUCACUUGCAACCCCCAAAACCAACGAAAAUGCAUGCGUUUUGUUAAAAAAAAUAUGAAAACAGAUCAAAAAAGUAAAUGAAGAAAACAAAACACCAAAAGUAAAUGACAUUUUUC